CUGCUGAGGAGUCCCAAAAUAGGACGAGACGGCCGUCCAG
rnacentral:hammerhead_ribozyme from 1 species